UCGCUGUAGCAUUUCCCAAAUUAAUCUCCUUUUUGGUAAAAGCAUGAAUCUGAUAUUCAAGUUUCUCAAGGUCAUUAACCUUUGUUGCCCCAUCAGCAUCCACCAUUAGAAGUAGUUCACCACGAGAAUGAAGCAUGCCUUUUCGAAUAGCUUCUCCCUUGCCAUGAUUUCUCCCAAGAAGUAUAACUCUUACAUUGUCCACUGUAUAUUUUUUCACGAAGCCAAAAGCAACGCUUUUUGUGGCAUCCUGACUUCCAUCAUCAACAAUCACCACCUCAUAAGUAAAUGACCUAUCCUUUGCUGCACGUCGUCGAAGAUAAUUCAUGGUUUCAUCAAGUGCUGCAGGAAGCCUACGUUCUUCAUUAAAAGCAGGAAUUAUCAAAGAUAUAUACUUCUCUGCUGGAUCAUUGAUAUGGGGGCAAGGAAUCUGUUUUAACGAAUUCAGAUCCUCAUAGAUAACAGGAGCAUCAACAUGCUCGUAACUGUGUCUUCGCUUGUAGGAUUCAAAGAUGACUGGAAAGAAUGUUAUCAUCAGAAGUUGAGCUGCCAGAUGCUCUGCUAUUGUCAAUAGUAACUCCAUUGGUCAC
rnacentral:misc_RNA from 1 species